GAGGAGAAUUUUUAUGUUUUAUUUUAACACUAAUGAACAUGUAUGCAAUAUUAUAGUAAUAACUAAUAACAAUAUCAUUAAAGGGUUUUAGGCUUAUUAUAAAGGGGUUUAUUAAGCUUUUCUUAGGACCUUGGGACACUUAAAAUUUUCCCUUAGGACUUUAUUCCAUGAAAGCGAUAUUCCUGAUGCUACAGGGUAUCUGACCACCAAGACUGAUGGGAUUUAGAAACUGUCGGUUAUAAAUUGGAAUUGGAGAUAGGUACCUACCGACUAAAGACUUUAUCGUUGAACUCAAGGACCCAAUUCCUGACCCCUGAUGCUGUACGGAAUUGCAUUCCUAAAUCGUGGUGAUCCCACGGGUUUUUUUAAGAAUCAUCCGUUUGAAUGUUUUUACGAAAUUUGGUACGGGUAAAUCGGGUACGACGGGUACGACAACCCUACGUCAUACCCGUCACUAUAAUAUAGGUACCUCAUUGUUGACAAACUGACAAAUCUUGCACAAGUACAAAAUUCAAUAAUUUUUGGAGCAAUAAAAUAAUGUAAAAUUUUAUCAAGAUAUAUUAAUAGAUACCUACCUACAUGUAAAUGGUGGCUUAAACUAGAAACCCUACAAAGAAUAAUGUGGGCAUGUUGGGCAUGUGGCAUUUCUGUUUAGUUGGGAAGAGCACCUGAUAAGGGGUCUCCAUUGGGACAGGACACGUUUGAUGGGUAUUUCAUCUUAUAGCAACAAAAGAUUAUUGGAUUAAACAGAAAUUAAAUCAUGAUAUAUGGAGUAAUAUUGACCACUCUCAUUAUAAUCUUAUGGGCGCCUUGUCUGAAAAGAGGUUUGUUGACCGAACACGGUGUGGUGUAUGCGAAGGAUCGAAAAAAUAGAAUAUUUCGUAUCUCACCGACAGGUUAUUGUUGUAGAUCUAGUAAAAGAACUUCAAACCUGUAAAUAUGUAGUUAGUUUAAUAAAUACAUAUUUUUGA